AUUGAACGCUGGCGGCAGGCUUAACACAUGCAAGUCGAGCGGAGAGAGGUAGCUUGCUACUGAUCUUAGCGGCGGACGGGUGAGUAAUGCUUAGGAAUCUGCCUAUUAGUGGGGGACAACAUCUCGAAAGGGAUGCUAAUACCGCAUACGUCCUACGGGAGAAAGCAGGGGAUCACUUGUGACCUUGCGUUAAUAGAUGAGCCUAGGUCGGAUAAGCUAGUUGGUGGGGUAAAGGCCUACCAAGGGGACGAUCUGUAGCGGGUCUGAGAGGAUGAUCCGCCACACUGGGACUGAGACACGGCCCAGACUGCUACGGGAGGCAGCAGUGGGGAAUAUUGGACAAUGGGGGGAACCCUGAUCCAGCCAUGCCGCGUGUGUGAAGAAGGCCUUAUGGUUGUAAAGCACUUUAAGCGAGGAGGAGGCUCUUUUGGUUAAUACCCAAGAUGAGUGGACGUUACUCGCAGAAUAAGCACCGGCUAACUCUGUGCCAGCCGCCGCAGUAA
rnacentral:rRNA from 1 species